AUGUGGACCAGAAACCACUUCCUGGUACUGAGAUGUCAGCACCUUGGAAACAGAUCACCGUCAAUGAAAGUGGGCAGAUGGGAGCAAUUCCCUAGAGCAUUUCAGGGCUCUGUGUCAGUCAUUCCCAUGGUGGGGAAUCCUGCUCCAGGAGGUGCCCCUGGUCCAGGAGACAGCAGAACUUGUUCUGCCCUCAUGCCUGCCAGGGUGCCAACAUGUGGGACCAGGACCAGGGUGGGGUGGGGCAGUGGGGAUAGGCCUGCUUGUGCUGUGGUUUCUCCCUGGAUCCAGGUUCUGACUCUGUGUCUGAUUCUCCAGGGCAGGCACGACAGUUGGGCCCCAGCUGGGGCCUGUGGGGUUGGGGACGGAGACCUAGGCCGCAGAGUGAUUUGCAGAGUGAUUUCUCCCUCAGGAGGCGGGGGCACAGAGUGGGAACCUCGAGCCUGGCUGCUGCCGGGUCCUUUCAGAGGCAUUGAGAACUGAGUGCUGAAGCAGGGGGUGCGAGGGGUAGGAUCUGGACCCCUAGACUCCUGUCCAGAGAAGUGACACAGAGGGACACCUACAGAGCAGCAAGAAACCAGAAGGAGAAAGUCCCUGCGCCCUUCUCCUGCUUUCAUGGGCAGAAAAGUCAGUAAUGGGGUGUCUCCCACGAGGAGGCCCCACACAGACCCACACUGGCCCCACAUGGGGAUCUCCCACACACCCACUCUGAGAAAUCUCACCCAGAGACCUUUCAGAGCAUCCCACAGAGACCUCUCUCUGGGCCCUCCCACACACACCUCACAGGUGUUCUUUAUGAUCUGAGUAUCCACCACUGACAGGUCCUUCAAGGUGGGUCUGAUGUCACUUAACUGGCAGCGCCGGGGAAGGACCAGUGACGGCACUCCGCCCCCACACCCCCAGAACUCCACGGUACCCAGAUAUUGUCAGCAUUGCCCCAGGCUGGGUUCUCUGCUUGCAGAAAUGACCACGCUUCUCUGUCUUUUUGUAACCAUUGCCUCUGAACAGAAGAAUCACAAGGUUUCAGCUCAUGUAGACCCACAAAAUCCUGUGCUGCUUAGGCCUCUCAGGGCCAUGCUUGUGUUCUCAUCACCCCUUUUAGGACCAAAGUGGAAAGAAUCUACUUCAAAAUGAAAGAGGAACAGGCACUGUGGGGAGAGAGCAAAUUGGCCAAGGUGGCCUGUUCAUGUUUUGUAAAUAAGGACCUUGUAACAAAGGUCUGACUCCCUGGUGGCUCAGACGGUAAAGCGUCUGCCUACAAUGUGGGGACCCAGGUUCGAUCCCUGGAUUGGGACGAUCCCCUGGAGAAGGAAAUGGCAACCCACUCCAGUACUCUUGUCUGGAAAAUCCCAUGGACAGAGGGGCCUGGUAGGCUACAGUUCAUGGGGUCGCAAAGAGUUGGACAUGACUGAGUGACCUCACACAACAAAGGCCCAACUAGUCAAAGCUAUGGUUUUUCCAGUAGUCAUGUAUGGAUGUGAGAGUUGGACUAUAAAGAAAGCUGAGUGCUGAAGAAUUGACGCUUUUGAACUGUGGUGUUGAGAAGACUCUUGAGAGUCCCUUGGACAAAAAGGGAGAUCCAACCAGUCCAUCCUAAAGAAAAUCAGUCCUGAAUAUUCAUUGGAGGGACUGAUGUUGAAGCUGAAACUCCAAUACUUUGGCCACCUAAUGGAAAGAACUGACUCAUUUGAAAAGACUUUGAUGCUGGGAAAGAUUGAAGACGGGAGAAGAAGGAGAGGACAGAGGAUGAGAUGGUUGGAUGGCAUCACCGACUCAACGGACAUGACUUUGAGUAAACUCCAGGAGUUGGUGAAGGACAGGGAGGCCUGGCGUGCUGCAGUCCAUGGGUUUGCAAAGAGUCGUGCAUGACUGACUGAGGAACUGAACAGAACCGAAACUUGUAACAGCUGAGAUCAUUAUAGCACUGCGCAUGCCCGUCAGGAGGUGCUCAUUCGAUCUCGGGUUACAGUGUGCAGUACACCUGUAUGGACUCCACCCAUAUAGCCCUGGGCAUUACUGCUGCUGCGACCAGGCUGUGUCUGCUGCGUCUGUCUCCACAGGCGAGGGGAGAAUACAGCGUGUCUACAGUUGAGGCUGCUGCGUCAGCCAAGAAAGAGGUUGUAUUGUGUUAGGUUAUGCCAUGACUGUUGCCAGAAGAGAAUAAAUGUGUCUGCAGUUUCUCUGCCUCCUCGAACCUCCUUUCAGCCUCUUAGCUCGUGCUUUGCUUACCCUGGGUUCAACAAACCACGCGUGUGCUGUGUGAACAGCAAGAGGAUUGGCGCUGUGAGCAGGAUGAUCAGCGAUACAGGCAGUGAGGUGUGAAGCAGGGCUGAGGUCCUCACUGUGUCAAAUGCUGUGAUCUGAUCCUAUUCCUGGCAUUACCUUUUUAGAAACCUCUUUACUGUUUGCAAGAAAAUGAAAGAUAAUAGGUUUGUCAUGUGCUUCUGAUUACCUAGUGACCAGUGCCCCUAAUAUCAGGAAGGAUAUUUACCAAGAUGAGAUAUUAGCACACACACUCACACAAAAGAGCAUGAUUGCAUAGCAAAUAUUGAAAACACAAAACAAAACUUUAGGAAGAAUGGUGCAGUGAGAAACUAUUUCAUUCUCAAGUUCACUUUCAAAAUAAAAUUGAUUGGUCAACAUAUCUCUAACUUUUACUACCAUUUAGAUGCUUUAUAAGCAUAAAUUUCACAUUUGUUGUUUUUAGUCACUAAGUUAUGUUUGAGUAUCUUGCAGCCCCAUGUACUGUAGCCUGCCAGGCUCCUCUGUCCAUGGGAUUUUCCAGGCAAGGAUGCCAUUUCAUUCUCCAGGGGAUGUUCCUGGGGAUCAAACCCAUAUCGCCUGGAUUGGCAGUUGGAUUCUGUACCACAGAGCUACUGUUCAGUUCAGUUCAGUUCAGUCGCUCAGUCGUGUCCGACUCUCUGUGACCCCAUGAAUCGCAGCACGCCAGGCCGCCCUGUCCAUCACCAACUCCCAGAGUUCACUCAGACUCAUGUCCAUCGAGUCGGUGAUGCCAUCCAUCCAUCUCAUCCUCGGUCGUCCCCUUCUCCUCCCGCGCCCAAUCCCUCCCAGCAUCAGAGUCUUUUCCAUGAGUCAACUCUUCUCAUGAGGUGGUCAAAGUACUGGAGUUUCAGCUUUAGCAUUAUUCCUUCCAAAGAAAUCCCAGGGCUGAUCUCCUUUAGAAUGGACUGGUUGGAUCUCCUUGCCGUUCAAGGGACUCUCAAGAGUCUUCUCCAACACCACAGUUCAAAAGCAUCAAUUCUUUGGCACUCAGCUUUCUUCACAGUCCAACUCUCACAUCCAUACAUGACCAC
ensembl:lincRNA